rnacentral:rRNA from 1 species
UACGAAGGGUGCAAGCGUUAAUCGGAAUUACUGGGCGUAAAGGGUGCGUAGGCGGUUCGUUAAGUCUGUCGUGAAAUCCCCGGGCUCAACCUGGGAAUGGCGAUGGAUACUGGGCAGCUAGAGUGUGUCAGAGGAUGGUGGAAUUCCCGGUGUAGCGGUGAAAUGAGUAGAGAUCGGGAGGAACAUCAGUGGCGAAGGCGGCCAUCUGGGACAACACUGACGCUGAAGCACGAAAGCGUGGGGAGCAAACAGG